rnacentral:miRNA from 1 species
CCUACUGGAGUGCCUAGCAC